rnacentral:tRNA from 1 species
GGAGGGAUGGCAGAGCGGUCGAAUGCGGCGGUCUUGAAAACCGUUGGCCUUUAACGAGGCCCGUGGGUUCGAAUCCUACUCCCUCCGCCA